GUACACUAAGCUCUAAGAUACAAUUUAGAUGCUUAGAUGUAUCAGGGAACUAAAGCUUAGAAUAAUAAAAGAAAUUGAGAGUAAAAAAAAAAUUGACGGUUUAUAAAAGAUGUAGGGAUUCGAUAUUAUCCCAAGGAGAAAUUUGAAAGAUAUUCAUGUCAAUCUAUUUCCGAUGUACGUUAUGUUCUAUAUAAAAAAAAAUGUAGCCUUUAAUGAACUAUGUAAGUGUGAAUGCACGUGGUUGUAAAAAAAAUGUAAAAUAAAAGGGGCUUUUGCUUUAUGUAAAGGUGAUUCUUGCACCGUUUCAAAAAAAGGAUGGUUGAGUACCAAAAAAGUAAAUACUUUUCCAAUGGGAUUUAU
rnacentral:lncRNA from 1 species